GAUGAACGCUGGCGGCGUGCCUAAUACAUGCAAGUCGAGCGAACGGACGAGAAGCUUGCUUCUCUGAUGUUAGCGGCGGACGGGUGAGUAACACGUGUAUAACCUACCUAUAAGUCUGGUAUAACUUCGGGAAACCGGAGCUAAUACCGGAUAAUAUUUUGAAGCGUAUGGGUCAAAAGUGAAAGACGGUCUUGCUGUCACUUAUAGAUGGAUCCGCGCUGCAUUAGCUAGUUGGUAAGGUAACGGCUUACCAAGGCAACGAUGCAUAGCCGACCUGAGAGGGUGAUCGGCCACACUGGAACUGAGACACGGUCCAGACUCCUACGGGAGGCAGCAGUAGGGAAUCUUCCGCAAUGGGCGAAAGCCUGACGGAGCAACGCCGCGUGAGUGAUGAAGGUCUUCGGAUCGUAAAACUCUGUUAUUAGGGAAGAACAUAUGUGUAAGUAACUGUGCACAUCUUGACGGUAACUAAUCAGAAAGCAACGGCUAACUACGUG
rnacentral:rRNA from 1 species